AGUGAACGCUGGCGGUAGGCCUAACACAUGCAAGUCGAACGGCAGCACAGGAGAGCUUGCUCUCUGGGUGGCGAGUGGCGGACGGGUGAGGAAUACAUCGGAAUCUACUCUGUCGUGGGGGAUAACGUAGGGAAACUUACGCUAAUACCGCAUACGACCUACGGGUGAAAGCAGGGGACCUUCGGGCCUUGCGCGAUUGAAUGAGCCGAUGACGGAUUAGCUAGUUGGCGGGGUAAAGGCCCACCAAGGCGACGAUCCGUAGCUGGUCUGAGAGGAGGCUCAGCCACACUGGAACGGAGACACGGUCCAGACUCCUACGGGAGGCAGCAGUGGGGAAUAUUGGACAAUGGGCGCAAGCCUGAUCCAGCCAUACCGCGUGGGUGAAGAAGGCCUUCGGGUUGUAAAGCCCUUUUGUUGGGAAAGAAAUCCAGCUGGCUAAUACCCGGUUGGGAUGACGGUACCCAAAGAAUAAGCACCGGCUAACUUCGUGCCAGCCGCCGCGGUAA
rnacentral:rRNA from 1 species